rnacentral:lncRNA from 1 species
AGGGGGUGAAAGGCGACUGGUCAAUGAUCGUAUAGAGACGACUGGUCGUGCCAACACCUAUAAAUCGAACACGCACUAGAAGGCGGGUGAGACCUGCCCUACUUUGGUUGGGAAUUGCCCGUCAAUUUUUGGAAGCUUCUCCUUCAAGGAGAGGCUCUAUCUUUAGUUAAAUUCUAAAUUUUCUGGAUGAUGAAUAUUUUUUAUGUAGGUUGAAGUAGCUUUUAACCAUGAAAAGGUGAUUUAUGCAUUUCUCCUUGAUACUUUUUACAUCUGGUACUAUUGGACAUUAUGAUCUUUCUUUAGUUGCUGAAUUAAUAGUUGGAUCAUUGCCCUAUAUGUUGGCAUGUAAUGAUCAUUUAUCAUUUUCUUUGAAAGUCUGAACUUGCUAUACAGCUGUCUAGGUGUUUCAUAUAAUUUGAUAUGUUCCUCCUUGGAGUUUGAACUAGAUUCAUCAGAAGGUGCAGAGACAAUAUGCAUGAUUUUACCUGGAGGAUAAAAACAAUAGCUAUCUACUAGAUCAGAUGUUAAGAUUGAAUUGCUAGUAUCAACAAGAUGAUCUUCCUCAAUUAUCUCUUUUGCUUUAGCUGCCUCGUCUACCUGAUUUUGGAUGUUUAAUAUAUUCUGUUUUUCUAGCUCAUUCCACAAUUCACCUUCUGUAAUGUGUUCAUUGGCAUCAAUGACUGGCUCCUCUUCAUCUACUACAUCAAGUCCAAAUCUUUCACUUGAGGAGUUUGGUUCAUCUUUAUUAAGCAUAAACACACUUUCAGUCAAGAGAGAUUUACUUAUAUUUUUUGGUCCAAGAGACAUGUUGACCAAGUUAUUUAAUUUAGAUUUUGACAAUGGACCAAUAUUCUGAGUGUGUGCAGCCAUAGUUUUGACAACAGCUUUUGCAACACCUCGUGCAUGCUUUAUCACAACCUGCAGGUAAAUAGCAGGAUCCUUCUGUAAGAUAAAAUAUACACAUGGAAAAAGGCCCACGCAAAGGAGGUAUACAAUAAUAAAAACAGUCUGAGUAUUAGGAUCACUGCAAAUAUAAUUGAUCACCUAACUGUUCUUAAUAAUGUAUGAUUUUAUAACUGCUUUAUAAGAAUACUAAAAUGUCAAAUAGAGACGAGGAAUUUACCUCGGUACUACUGGUUACAGGCAGUAGAAUUGCACCUACACCAGUUACUUUGUCUUUUGCACUUAUAGAUUGUAAGUGAGACCCAAGAAUACUUGCUGAGCGAUAUAUGACAUUCAGAACUUUUGUAUGUUCAACCUGAUCCCAUAAAUCAUUGAACCAAGAUGAUGCAGCAACCUAACAAAACUAACUUGAGUAAAGAACAAAGCAUCAUCUAAUAGAUAACAUUAGAAACAAACUAAUUAAAAUUAAUAUGUACUCAAAUAUUGAAAGUUGGGAGAACCAGCUGAAGCACCUCAGAACGAAGAUCAUCAACAGAGAAAGCUGAUAAUGUGGGCACCAAGUCGGAAUUAUUUAUAAUGGUGGUGAUAAAGUGCUUCCCUGAUUCAGCUAACUCCCAUGUCAUACAAGCAGCUGAAAAAGACAAUAUGAUAGAUUGCAUCACAAAAAUAAGCAUCCUUACUUAAAACAGAAUAUAGCUACAUGCCAUACAUAUAAAUACAUAUCACACUAAAUAGCUAUCUAAAUCUCAUAGGCAUUUAUCAAAAUAACAAUGUUGAGCAUAUAAAUUUGAAAUCACAUAUUGUAGUCCCAAACUGAUUAGACAAUAGCUCCAGCUUCUUUCCAACACUAACAUAUUUUUCAGCAUUAUGAAAUGAAAAAAUAAUUCAUCAUAACUUAAGAGACAAUUAGUGUUACUUCUCAAUUCAAUAACUUCAAAUGUAAAAUUAGUAUGAUCAUGCCUGGAGCAAAUGUGACACAGGUGCUUGAAGAUAACUCUUUUUGUUCCCUAAGAAUAUAAGUCAACAGUGAUGCAGUACCACCACCAAGUGAGUGUCCAACAAUCUGUGGUAUUCCAAAAAAGACAAGAAUAUACUAUGAGUAGUGUGAUUAUAUAACAUGAUUUGAAAGAAAAACAUUAAAAAAAAUGUCAUUCUAGUGAAAGGAUGGAAAAAGUUAAGACAUAAACAAAUGAAAGAAAGAACUGAACAUUUCAAAAUUCAGGGCUGUAGCAUCGUAAUAUUCUUAGAAGAAUAAUAUAGAACAGUACCUUGACUUUUGAGUCUGGACAUUCAUCAAGAGCCUUAAGUAAUGUAGGAGUGCAGACUUUUGCAAUCCAACGAGCUGCAGCAACCAUACCACAGUGUGCAUGUCCUAAAACCAAGUUACUUAUCUGUCCAUCAUUAAGAAUGGAAUGGUGAAAAGGAACCAUAGCACCAGUUGCAGCUGUCAGUGUGUCUUUUAUGCUAUGAGUUCCCCUGAUCAAUAGAAGGAAACAUCUUGAUUGCAUAUCAUGUAUAAUAGUGAAAGCGGGCUUCAGAAGCUGCAGGUUUCAUGACAUUAAAUCAGUUUUCAGUUACAGUUGAGCAAUAAAUUGAACAAUGACAUGUGCAUAACAGUUCAGCAACUGAAACACAAAAUUAAGAUAAAAUAACCGAAUAAAGAAAAGAAAAUAAAUUACCAAUGCACAUUUAGCAUGAGAAGUAUAAAUUAACUUGUGCAUCUGUCAAACCAUGUCAGAAUUAUAGGAUUUGUCAACUCAGAAUGGACAUGACCAACCAUCACCAUGAAUUCGGGACUGCUACUCCCAUUGAGCUAGGAUGUUUUUUAAAAGAUGAUCAAGGGUAAUGAAGAAUUGUGAACAAAGGGCCAGACAUGUAUUAUGAGGCUUUGCUCUAGGAAGCACCAACACAAAAUCCAUUGAUAUGGUGCAUGUAUGACACUUACACUGACCUGGCUGUGACACACGCGACACAGGCAAGACAGGGCACACACCAAGACACUCAUUCUUGGCUACACCUCCUACACUUCUACUAUAAAAAUAAAAGCCAACAUAUAUUACUUUAUUUUAUAAAGUUGUUUGACAACUAUGUUUCUUAGCAUUUCUUUUAGGCUCAUUAUUAC